GAGGGUAUUUCACAUCAAAUGGAGCACUCCAGUAAUGGACCACUUUGGUAAAUGAAGGAGAGGAUUGGAUCACUAAACUUUCUAUAGAACAAUUAAGACAAAGGUGAGGGGAUUGGACAGCAAAAAGGCUCUGCAUUGUGAAAAUAGGUCUACACGUUGAUUGGGUAACAAAACGCUCUGCAUUGUGAAAAUAUGUCUACACGUUGAUUGGGCAACAAAACGCUCUGCAUUGUGAAAAUAUGUCUACACGUUGAUUGGGCAACAAAACGCUCUGCAUUGUGAAAAUAGGUCUACACGUUGAUUGGGCAACAAAACGCUCUGCAUUGUGAAAAUAUGUCUACACGUUGAUUGGGCAACAAAACAAAACGCUCUGCAUUGUGAAAAUAUGUCUACACGUUGAUUGGGCAGCAAAACGCUCUGCAUUGUGAAAAUAGGUCUACACGUUGAUUGGGCAGCAAAACGCUCUGCAUUGUGAAAAUAGGUCUACACGUUGAUUGGGCAGCAAAACGCUCUGCAUUGUGAAAAUAGGUCUACACGUUGAUUGGGCAGCAAAACGCUCUGCAUUGUGAAAAUAGGUCUACACGUUGAUUGGGCAGCAAAACGCUCUGCAUUGUGAAAAUAGGUCUACACGUUGAUUGGGCAGCAAAACGCUCUGCAUUGUGAAAAUAGGUCUACACGUUGAUUGGGCAGCAAAACGCUCUGCAUUGUGAAAAUAGGUCUACACGUUGAUUGGGCAGCAAAACGCUCUGCAUUGUGAAAAUAGGUCUACACGUUGAUUGGGGCUGCAAAAGGAACAAUGCCUCCCUUCCAAUGACAGUGCUUCUUGGGUAACAGAACUGUGGCCACUGUCCUCUCAUCAUGCUCUUGCAUACCACUGAUAAACCAAUUAAAAACGUAUCUAUAUCUAAAACCUAUCUAGCUAUGUAGAAAGUGUUCUUAACUGACACUUGCCUAGUUAAAUAAAGCUGAAAUGUAAAAAUAAAAAUAAAUGUAAAUACAUUUCUCUACACACAGAUUUCAACACAACAUUUCUCUAUACACAGAUUUGAGCAGAACUGCUAAGUUGACAAUGGAAUCCAGGAUGUGAGUUAGUGAUCUGGAUUCAUGUAUAGAAUUAAACUGAAAGAAUGACGCUUUCAUUUUUUGGUGUUCUUCACAUGGCUACUGGCUAAUGCUACUGCAACAAUUUACAGAUUUAUCAUGAUAAAAAAAUAAAUAAAUAAAAAA